rnacentral:rRNA from 1 species
GACGAACGCUGGCGGCGUGCUUAACACAUGCAAGUCGAACGGAAAGGCCCUGCUUUUGUGGGGUGCUCGAGUGGCGAACGGGUGAGUAACACAUGAGUAACCUGCCCUUGACUUUGGGAUAACUUCAGGAAACUGGGGCUAAUACCGGAUAGGAGCUCCUGCUGCAUGGUGGGGGUUGGAAAGUUUCGGCGGUUGGGGAUGGACUCGCGGCUUAUCAGCUUGUUGGUGGGGUAGUGGCUUACCAAGGCUUUGACGGGUAGCCGGCCUGAGAGGGUGACCGGCCACAUUGGGACUGAGAUACGGCCCAGACUCCUACGGGAGGCAGCAGUGGGGAAUAUUGCACAAUGGGCGGAAGCCUGAUGCAGCAACGCCGCGUGCGGGAUGACGGCCUUCGGGUUGUAAACCGCUUUCGCCUGUGACGAAGCGUGAGUGACGGUAAUGGGUAAAGAAGCACCGGCUAACUACGUGCCAGCAGCCGCGGUGAUACGUAGGGUGCGAGCGUUGUCCGGAUUUAUUGGGCGUAAAGGGCUCGUAGGUGGUUGAUCGCGUCGGAAGUGUAAUCUUGGGGCUUAACCCUGAGCGUGCUUUCGAUACGGGUUGACUUGAGGAAGGUAGGGGAGAAUGGAAUUCCUGGUGGAGCGGUGGAAUGCGCAGAUAUCAGGAGGAACACCAGUGGCGAAGGCGGUUCUCUGGGCCUUUCCUGACGCUGAGGAGCGAAAGCGUGGGGAGCGAACAGGCUUAGAUACCCUGGUAGUCCACGCUGUAAACGGUGGGUACUAGGUGUGGGGUCCAUUCCACGGGUUCCGUGCCGUAGCUAACGCUUUAAGUACCCCGCCUGGGGAGUACGGCCGCAAGGCUAAAACUCAAAGGAAUUGACGGGGCCCCGCACAAGCGGCGGAGCAUGCGGAUUAAUUCGAUGCAACGCGUAGAACCUUACCUGGGUUUGACAUGGAUCGGGAGUGCUCAGAGAUGGGUGUGCCUCUUUUGGGGUCGGUUCACAGGUGGUGCAUGGCUGUCGUCAGCUCGUGUCGUGAGAUGUUGGGUUAAGUCCCGCAACGAGCGCAACCCUUGUUCACUGUUGCCAGCACGUUAUGGUGGGGACUCAGUGGAGACCGCCGGGGUCAACUCGGAGGAAGGUGGGGAUGACGUCAAGUCAUCAUGCCCCUUAUGUCCAGGGCUUCACGCAUGCUACAAUGGCUGGUACAGAGAGUGGCGAGCCUGUGAGGGUGAGCGAAUCUCGGAAAGCCGGUCUCAGUUCGGAUGGGGGUCUGCAACUCGACUUCAUGAAGUGGGAGUCGCUAGUAAUCGCAGAUCAGCAACGCUGCGGUGAAGACGUUCCCGGGGCU